AAAAAUGCAGCGAUGAGGAGAGUAGAUUCGUCUAACCAUUUCAGGGAGUCCCGUUAACUGAGAAGGGAUGAUGGUUAUCGAAUUGAAAGUAGCCUCUAAGCAGUAGAUGCGAAGCGAUGAGUAUCUUCGGUGUGCACCCCUUAAAGUGCCAGUGUAUCGUCAGCAAUGGCCGUACAUGAUGAGACGAUUUGUGUGAGCAGAUCGUGAAUUUAGGUGGUAACACGCGAAAGCGCCCUUAAU
rnacentral:ncRNA from 1 species